rnacentral:rRNA from 1 species
UAAGUUCCGACCUGCACGAAUGGUGUAACGAUCUGGACACUGUCUCAGCCAUGAGCUCGGUGAAAUUGUAGUAUCGGUGAAGAUGCCGAUUACCCGCUAUGGGACGAAAAGACCCCGUGAACCUUUACUAUAGCUUAGUAUUGACUUUGGAUAAGUAAUGUGUAGGAUAGGUGGGAGACUUUGAAGCAGCGUCGCUAGGUGUUGUGGAGUCACCGUUGAAAUACCACCCUUUGCUUAUCUAGAGCCUAACCCCUAGCGGGGGACAGUGCUUGGUGGGUAGUUUGACUGGGGUGGUCGCCUCCAAAAGCGUAACGGAGGCUUCUAAAGGUACCCUCAGCACGCUUGGUAACCGUGCGUAGAGUGCAAUGGCAUAAGGGUGCUUGACUGUGAGACUGACAAGUCGAACAGGUUGGAAACAAGAGCAUAGUGAUCCGGUGGUUCCGUAUGGAAGGGCCAUCGCUCAAAGGAUGAAAGGUACUGCGGGGAUGGGGGGCUGCUCGCCCCCAAGAGCUCACGUCGACGGGGGGGUUUGGCACC